AUGGAUGUUCAAGCCAGACAUUGCCAGCAGAACCACAUCUCUUCAUCCAUAGCAGGUACUGUAGGAGAAAGCCCAGAGGAGCAAUGAAGGAAAAAAGACAUGACACCUGCAAAAAGUCAGUGGAGUAUUUCUACAUAACAAACCUUGCAGAAUAAUCGAUG